ACGCUAUCCGAGCGAUUCUCCCCCAUCGUAUAGAUGUGGCAGAAACAACAACGGCAGCGCUCGUCGUUCCUUUCGGUGCACAAGGCAGCCGUACGGGCAACUAAAGGAGGCAAACCCCCCACCCGCUGGACUUUCCGCAUCCAAAACCACGAGCAAUGGACAUAUGGGCCAACGCAACCAGUUCCUGGCAUGCGUGGAACACAUGCACUGCUACGGGGUCGGCCCCGUGCCAUGACAGGCAAAGGGCGAAGGGGGGUCAAGCAUCGCAUUCGAUUUCCGCCAUAUUGGGUAAGCAGCACAGGAACCUACCGUCACCACGAAAGAAGAUUCGGGCGCCUGCAAUUGAAGGGAUUGCGGGAAAGUAUUUCGGUGCGCGAAGCAUGGACCCUACAUUCCCAAACAAUCGUAACACCACUCACGCGC
rnacentral:misc_RNA from 1 species